GGCUCGGUGGUGGAUGGCCCACGUCUGCUUGUCCUUGGAACUCCUUCAGGAAAUGGUAUUACAUGCAGAAGGAACCUGUCCGAUUCGGGUCCGAGCCA